AGUCUUUGUUUACAUAACACAGAAUCAAAACUAAAAUAUUGCUCUUAUCCUUCCAUUCAGACGGUCCAAAUGUUGGUUGCCAACAUUAAAUGAGUUAUAUUUUUAAUUUUUAACAUCAAAAAUGAAAACUAUUUGUUUUGAACCAGUCCCUUUAAAAAGUCUGUUGAAUACACUAUAUACUGGGCCCGUAUUGUUAAUUUUUCUUCCAUCCUUUGGACAAGUGCGCGUCGUUCCAUAUUUGUUCUGCGUCCAACACAAUGUCCAGUGCUCCCACACUUGGUAUGUACACCAGGAAAAACUACAUCAAUCUGGUAAAAUUAGUAAUAAGAAACAUCGAUUUUUUUUUUUAAUUGGUGCUGGGGAUUCUCAGGUCUUCCUCGAGUUACUUCCCGUAGUAUCAACAUUGAAAACCGGAUAAGAGCAUUCGUUACAAACGGAAUAUAGAGGUGGAAAAAAAUAGGACACUUUUGCAAUCAUGCCAUGAUAAUAUGGAAUGCAAAUAAGAGGCACUAAGGUUUUGGAAAACAGCGUGUCAACAUCAUAAGUGGAGAAUGGGGGACUGUGGCUUGUUAUGGGGCGUGAUGUGGGCCGUAAUUUUGAUUGUGUUUGGCUGGCCGAUUGGUCUGAUCUGUGCGCUGUUUUAUUGCCUUCUCAGCCCCUGUGCCGCUUGUUGCCACAGCUGUACCGAACUGAUCAACCUAUUGGACCGUGGCGUGAAGUUACCCUUGACUUGUUCGCAAAAUAUGGUGAAUGGAAAGUCAAUGUGCUGAAUUGUUCAAGAACCAUGACACGUUAUGUACCCUAUUAUUAUCAUAACUAUGUACCAUAUAUUAUUUUUAAGUUGAAUAUACCUAGAGGGCAAUUUUAAUGUUAUGUAAAUCUAAAAUUGUUUGACAAAGAUUGGAUUUACACAUAAACUGCAAGAAUAAAACCACACAAAACUA